rnacentral:rRNA from 1 species
AUGGGGUGACUGCGUACCUUUUGUAUAAUGGGUCAGCGACUUAUAUUCUGUAGCAAGGUUAACCGUAUAGGGGAGCCGCAGGGAAACCGAGUCUUAACUGGGCGUUAAGUUGCAGGGUAUAGACCCGAAACCCGGUGAUCUAGCCAUGGGCAGGUUGAAGGUUGGGUAACACUAACUGGAGGACCGAACCGACUAAUGUUGAAAAAUUAGCGGAUGACCUGUGGCUGGGGGUGAAAGGCCAAUCAAACCGGGAGAUAGCUGGUUCUCCCCGAAAGCUAUUUAGGUAGCGCCUCGUGAACUCAUCUCCGGGGGUAGAGCACUGUUUCGGCUAGGGGGCCAUCCCGGCUUACCAACCCGAUGCAAACUGCGAAUACCGGAGAAUGUUAUCACGGGAGACACACGGCGGGUGCUAACGUCCGUCGUGAAGAGGGAAACAACCCAGACCGCCAGCUAAGGUCCCAAAGUCAUGGUUAAGUGGGAAACGAUGUGGGAAGGCACAGACAGCCAGGAUGUUGGCUUAGAAGCAGCCAUCAUUUAAAGAAAGCGUAAUAGCUCACUGGUCGAGUCGGCCUGCGCGGAAGAUGUAACGGGGCUAAACCAUGCACCGAAGCUGCGGCAGCGGCGCGUAUGCGCUGUUGGGUAGGGGAGCGUUCUGUAAGCCGUCGAAGGUGUGCUGUGAGGCAUGCUGGAGGUAUCAGAAGUGCGAAUGCUGACAUAAGUAACGAUAAAGCGGGUGAAAAGCCCGCUCGCCGGAAGACCAAGGGUUCCUGUUCAACGUUAAUCGGAGCAGGGUGAGUCGACCCCUAAGGCGAGGCCGAAAGGCGUAGUCGAUGGGAAACAGGUUAAUAUUCCUGUACUCGGUGUUACUGCGAAGGGGGGACGGAGAAGGCUAUAUCAGCCGGGCGACGGUUGUCCCGGUUUAAGCGUGUAGGUGUGUGUUCCAGGCAAAUCCGGUUCACUUUACACUGAGGCGUGACGACGAGGCACUACGGUGCUGAAGUGAUAAAUGCCCUGCUUCCAGGAAAAGCCUCUAAGCAUCAGGUAACACAGAAUCGUACCCCAAACCGACACAGGUGGUCAGGUAGAGAAUACCAAGGCGCUUGAGAGAACUCGGGUGAAGGAACUAGGCAAAAUGGUGCCGUAACUUCGGGAGAAGGCACGCUGGCGCGUAGGUGAAGGGACUUGCUCCCGGAGCUGAAGCCAGUCGAAGAUACCAGCUGGCUGCAACUGUUUAUUAAAAACACAGCACUGUGCAAACACGAAAGUGGACGUAUACGGUGUGACGCCUGCCCGGUGCCGGAAGG